UCUUUGUCAUCCUAAUUUGGAAUUUGGUCCCUGGAUGGCUAGGGAUCCAUGAACCAGGCAGGUACCUUUUUUGUUUUUGUUUUGUUUUGUUUCUUUUCUGUUUGAAUUAAGAUGGGCUAAGAUGGGGCUUGCAACAUUAAACAUGAGCUGAGCAUCCAUAAGCAUUGAAUUGGGAUUAAAUAAAGAUGUUGGGCAGGAACUGAACACUGCUAAUAUGAUGAUACUUGUAAAUAAUAGGUAAAUGCAGUGCUUGCAUGGUAUGUGGCUCAAAUCAAAUAACUUAAUAGCUUAGCGUUCUUGUUUGUGUGUGUGUUUCCUGGGACUGGGUCUUUCGAGUCGAGAUACAGUGUCAAAAAUUCUACCAUACCACUGUUGAAUGAUA
rnacentral:lncRNA from 1 species